GUUUAAUUGGCUCUGGAAACCUCCUACCUCCGUUGAAAGGAGAGCCAGUUACUAACUUGAAACUACCCAGCUCUGCUGGGGGAGCUGCACACAGAAAAGGAAACAGUUACUACUCCACGUAUGGUGUCCUUGGAAGAGACAAAGUUGUAUACUGGACUUGAAUAUGAUCUGUCUCGAGAGAACCACCGAGAAGUAAUUGCUACAGUUAUAAGGAAACUUCUUAACCACAUACUUGAUAAUUCAGAAGAUGAUACUAAGUCAUUGUUUCUUAUUAUAAAGAUUAUUGGAGACCUUUUACAAUUCCAAGGAUCUCACAAGCAUGAAUUUGACUCCCGAUGGAAAAGCUUCAACUUAGUAAAGAAAUCAAUGGAAAAUCGGCUCCAUGGGAAAAAACAACAUAUCAGAGCACUGUUGAUUGAUAGAGUAAUGUUACAGCAUGAGCUACGGACACUAACUGUUGAGGGUUGUGAAUACAAAAAGAUACAUCAAGAUAUGAUCAGAGAUCUUCUUCGUUUAUCUACAAGUUCAUACAGUCAGGUGAGAAAUAAGGCUCAGCAAACAUUUUUUGCUGCCUUGGGAGCAUAUAACUUCUGUUGCAGAGAUAUCAUUCCCUUGGUUUUGGAGUUCUUAAGGCCUGAUAGACAAGGUGUUACACAGCAACAAUUCAAGGGUGCCUUGUACUGUCUCCUUGGAAAUCACAGUGGUGUGUGCUUGGCAAACCUUCAUGAUUGGGACUGUAUUGUACAGACGUGGCCAGCGAUUGUUUCUUCAGGGCUUAGCCAAGCAAUGUCCCUGGAAAAGCCAUCAAUAGUGAGAUUGUUUGAUGAUCUUGCAGAAAAGAUUCAUAGGCAGUAUGAAACAAUUGGCUUGGACUUCACAAUUCCAAAGUCAUGUGUUGAAAUAGCGGAAUUACUUCAACAGUCAAAAAACCC
rnacentral:lncRNA from 1 species